UGCGUAGGUGGCAGUGCAAGUCAGAUGUGAAAGGCCGGGGCUCAACCAUUGUAUGCAUUGGAAACUGGUAGACUUGAGUGCAGGAGAGGAGAGUGGAAUUCCAUGUGUAGCGGUGAAAUGCGUAGAUAUAUGGAGGAACACCGGUGGCGAAAGCGGCUCUCUGGCCUGUAACUGACACUGAGGCUCGAAAGCGUGGGGAGCAAACA
rnacentral:rRNA from 1 species